CACUAAUAAUAUACUAGAUUGCCUACUUACAAUCAGAUGAGGAUGGUGAUGGGCUCUGGCUGCAGUCUGGCUCCACUGGUCUGGUGUAGAACAGGAUCUCUGGAGGCUGUUUGUAACUGUGGUCACAAAAUUCAAUGUUCUGGGAGAACGGGAAGCAGCUCCAUUUUUUGGGGCCUCUUACGUAGCUCAAGGUCUGGGCCCCAGGGCCUGACGGUGAGUAUGCCCAUAAAGCCCACCCAUAAGGCCACCUACAUGUUCCACCCAUGAACUCACAGGGAGUAGAGUGUGUAGGGGAUUUGUUAUGUGUUACUGUAGAGGAUCUAAUGUGUGUGCUUACGGAAUGUAGUGUAUAGGGAUACCAGUUUGUGUAGGUGAUGCAGUGUGUUUGUGUGUAGUGGAAGCAGUGUGUGUGUGUAUAAGGGAUGUAUUGUGUGUUUCUUGUUGUGUGUAAGGGAUGCAUUGUGUGAAUCUGUGUUUGUAUGCAUAAGGGAUGCAAAGUGUGUUUCUUUGUAUGUAAGGGAUGCAGUGUGUGUGUCUGUAAGGGGUGCGUUGAGUGUGUGUAAGAUGCAUUGUGUUUCUGUGUGUGUGUGUAAGAGAAGCAGUGUGUGUUUGCAUGUGUGUGUAAGGGAUGCAUUGUGUGUUUCUGUGUAUAUGUGCAAAGGUUGCAUUGUCUUUAUGUGUAAGGGUUGCAUUGUGUGUUUCUCUGUGUGUAAGGGAAGCAUGUUGUGUUUCUGUGUGUAUAGGGAUGCAUUGUGUGUGUGUGUGUGUG